UACGGGGGGGGCAAGCGUUGUUCGGAAUUACUGGGCGUAAAGGGCUCGUAGGCGGCCAACUAAGUCAGACGUGAAAUCCCUCGGCUUAACCGGGGAACUGCAUCUGAUACUGGAUGGCUUGAGUUUGGGAGAGGGACGCGGAAUUCCAGGUGUAGCGGUGAAAUGCGUAGAUAUCUGGAGGAACACCGGUGGCGAAGGCGGCAUCCUGGACCGGUAUUGACGCUGAUGCGCGAAAGCCAGGGGAGCAAACGGG
rnacentral:rRNA from 1 species